UGAGAGUGGGGAGGGGCUGGGAUAGAAUUCCCAGAGAAGCUGUGGCUGCCCCUGGAUCCCUGGAAGUGUCCAAGGCCAGGUUGGACGGGCUUGGAGCAACCUGGGCUGGUGGAAGGUGUCCCUGCCCAUGGCAGGGGGUGGCACUGGAUGGGCUUUAAGGUCCCUUCCAACCCAAACCAUUCCAUGAUUCCAUGGUUGAUAUAUCUGGGUUCAGUGGAGAUGUUUUCAGGUUCUGGUAGGAGUUGGAUGGUGUCCUGUCACCCAGGGAAGAAGGAAACCUGUGUUCUCCACCUGAACAUGUUUCCAGGGUUGAUGGAUGUCCUUCAGCUCUUAACUGCCUCUUCCAUGCUCCCAUCUCUGCAGCAGAGGGAUAAUAAUUCCCACCUUUUUGGCAAAUCCAGGUACUAGGUGGGAUACUGUUAGCAGGGACCACAUCUCGUGGCAAGGAUUAUAUAAAACUCUUCAUUUCCCAGCCACUUGGGAAAACAUUUAAUUCAGUUUCUUACCGAAUACAACAGCAAAAUUAUUCUUAAGAAGGCAUUAAAGCAGCUAAAAUUAUCCCCCUUUUUCUCAAUGUAUGGGAAAGCUUUACUUAGUAAACAAACUUUCCCUCCUGCUUUAAUUGGCUGUAAAAACAUGUGGUUGUUUUUUUUUUUCUGAUUUCCCUUCAACCUUUUUAUUGUGUCCUGCCUAAAGCUGCACUAAGGUUGUGGUCAGGACACUUGCUCAGUCCUGCCUUUAUGUUGUGUUCACAGGAGAGAUCUGUGAAACGUGGACUAGGGAACAACAAACAUUGCAUGCCUUUAGAAUUGUGAAUUUUGGUUAAAACUGAGGAGGUUUUAAAAGAAAAUAUUAAAUUUACAGUACUUUCUGUUGUCUUUUUAAAAAUGUGUUUUGAGGUGGGCUUAAAAUUCUCUGCUGUGAAAGUUGGGGAAGAAAAGCCACAUAAGUUUCAAGUGGCAAGAAAAAUGCCAUAUCAAGAGAGUCAGGAUGACACACAGGAUGGGAAUCCUGCAAUCUCCUCUUUGUGUGCUGCCCCAUUUAUAUUCCAACUAAAUGGGAACAGGGAAAAGAAGAGGGAAAUGUUGGGUGCAGGAAUUAACUGGGAUGAAAAAGUGAUGUUAUAUCAGGCACCACAGGCUGUGGAUCUGAGAGGCCACACUUCAAAUCCUGUGCUCAGUUUUGGGCCUCUCACUUCCAAAAGGACAUUUGAGGGGCUGGAGCGUGUCCAGGGAAGGGAACAGGGAUGGGGAAGAGGGUGGAAAACAUGUCCUGUGAGGAGCAGCUGAGGGAGCUGGGGGGGUUUAUCUGGAGAAGAGGAGGCUCAGGGGGGACCUCAUUGCUCUCCCCAACUCCCUGACAGGAGGGGGCAGGGAGGGGGGUCAGGCUCUGCUGCCAUGUCCAAGGGAAAGGAGGAGAGGGAAUGGCCUUAAAUUGCCCCAGGGCAGGGUCAGAUUAGGGAUUAGAAACAAUUUUUCCCUGCAGGAGUGGUCAGGCCUUGGAAUAAGUGUCCCAGGGAGGUGGUGGAGUCCCUGUGUCUGGGAGUGUCCCAGAGGUGUCUGGAUGUGGCCCUUGGGGACAUGGAUUGGGGGUGAUCCUGGUGGUGCUGGGUGAGGGUGGAACUGGACAAUCCUGGAGGUCUCUCCCAGUCUUGGUGAUUCUGGGAUUCUGUGACUGACACAGCAACUGCUGAAGUCUGCCUGGAGUAACCUGGUGACCUGAGCAGGAGAUGUUUGACCCAGUUUGGCUUUUUCCAAACAGCACAGUCUGACACCUUCAAACAACCAAACACGGGAAGGGGCCGUUCCCAUCCCACGAGCCCCUUAAAUCUCCUCACCCCCAACCUGUGCCGCUGCAAACCACAGGAUCCACAGGAACCCCUUAAGGAAAGCCAGUGUUUGGGGGGGUCCUGCCUGCACCCAGAUACUCCCAGGAGCUUCCCAGCUCCAGAGUUCCCAGGAUCCCUCCAUCCCACCCUGGAACGGGCCCGAGGCCACAGUUCCCCACACGCCUGAGCUGUGCCUGCCAUCUAUUGGUGUUACUUUGGAGUCCGGAUUCCCACUCCUGCUCCUCACACAGCAGUUUUUCUAGGGAAAUUCAAGUUUUCCUCCCGGCGGCGGCCGACGCUCCCGGAACUCUGGAAACGGGAUGGCAGAGCUCGGGUUUUCCCAGGAAUCCUGGUUUAGGAGACAGAACAAAGCUGGUGGAACCAUGGCCAGGUGGUAUUUUCAUCCAUAAACUUCUGACCAGCACUGAAGAAGGAAAAAAAUAAUUAUCUAAUGAAAAAUUUCAGCCCCAUUUCGGCUUGAAAAGC